GUGCAUUCACGCAAACUUGCUUAAAAUGACAGGUGGGCUUGGUGUUUUCCAUCAAUUAAGUAAAAUGCCGAAAAAAUCCAUGUGGAUCCCCACAUUUAUCAGGAUUCAUACCCUGCUGCUUCUUUGGCCUAUGCCCCAGCCCUCCACGGAGCUUUUAGUGGAAAUCUAUUGAGCAAGCCUUCUAAAAAACAAAUCCUUGUUGGCCGAGGUAACCAUUGACGGACUGCAUUUCUGAUCUGAUGUCUCAGCCACAACAGCCGUCGUGGCGGCAAUCCGCGAAGCCGUUGGUGGACACCAGCAGUGAGGGAUGCCGUCAAGCUGAAGGAGUCCUGUUGGGCCUUUUUGGCCUGUGGGACUCAUGAGGCAGCCGAUGGGUACCGGCCGGCCAAGCGGAAUGCAGCUUUGGUGGUUGCUGAGGCAAAAAGUCGGACGUGGGAGGAGUUCGAUCCGGAGAGGGGAACAUGCACGGGACUCCCAUGGUCGAUGCAGUUUCGAAAGCGACCCGAUUCCCAGAGCCUCGUGUUGGAAAUCCUGGCUGCUCCUCCUAAAUGCUGCAUCGAGCCUGACUAAUCAACCACCGGAAGAUUCUUGCAAAUAAACCUGUAUGUGCGUUUAAGGAUCACCUGUCUGACUGUGCACAAUAAGCAAAAGCAUUUUCAGUAGUUCUUAGUUCUCGCAACUGCAUCUAUUUUUACUCUCUUGCGUGUGUUUUUCAUCCAUGUUCAAAGAGUGUCCGUCUGACGGGGUCAAGGGCCGGCUUUUCUAGCGCUUGAUAGUGUCAGGGAGUGGGUCUGUUGACAUACUUAAGUCAGGGAAUCAACACGGUAAACGGUCGCUCAGCGUCCAGGCAACGCAUGAAAAAGUCAACAGACUCCCUCUCUUUUUAUUGUAACACAUUCUGGAAAGACUUCUAUGACUUUUGUUGAAAGAAAACUAAUGGAAAAGCCAGAAGGCUUCUGCACUGGAUCGCGCUCAGAGUGGGUAGUGGGUCUGGGACAAAAGUAUUGGGACAGCUAGGCGCUACAACGACAAGCUUGUUAAGAUCCAUGAUGAAAGGAAAACAUGUUUGAACAUUUUAUACAUAUUUUAUGACCAAUGUAUGCAGACAUUGAAGGAAUUCUAAAGAGUUCUCAUACUUUUUUGCUCCGACUGUAUUUUUAGAACAGACCUGCAGGCUACUCAAGUGGUCAUUGCGGGCUACCUUUUGCCGUGGGCGUCGUCUUGGUGACCCCUGAACUAACUAACCAUAAAACUUGUACAGGCAAUGUUGAAAGAAGUAAUAUUUUUAACUGUCAUGUUUGCAAAACACUCUCCCGUUUACUGCAUCCAAAAGCGAAAUACUGUGAGUGAUUAGAAGUGCAACUUCACAGUUCUGGGGUUUACAGUUUGAGUCUCGGCUCCGACCUCCCUGUUUGAACUUUGUAUGUUCUCCUGACACAUUUUAGAAUACUUUUUUUUGCGUGACUUUUUCCUCCUAAAAUGUUGUUGGAGUACCAAACUUUACAACCGGCAUUGGCAUGCUUCUGCGUCAAAGGCCAGUGGAGGACUUGAGGUUUCUGGGCAGAACUUCCUCCAGUUCCAGUGUAUGUUUUUGUAAUGUUAAAUGUCUCCCAACACUCCUCGCUGUCUGCACGACAGCC